UUAUGAUAGUGGUGGUGGUAGUGGUGAUGGUUUUGGUGGGUUUAGGGACAAUAAAAAAAUCAGGAUGAUAAGAAUGAAUGAUGGUGAUGACAAUGAUGACGAUGAUGGUCGUAGGUGAUGAUAAUAAUGCUGAUGGUAUUAAUGUUGAUAAUGGCCGCGGAUGAAGACCAUUUCUCAGUGUAGUCAUUAGGGUCAUCACUGCCAGAAGGACGAGAAAGAAUGGCGAUGACCUCGUGAAGAUGGUGACGACAGUGAUGGUGGUGAUGAUGAUGAUAAUGAAGAUGGUGAUGAUGAUGGAGAUGGGAAUGAUGAUGGUGGUGAUGAUGAUGAUGAGAAUGAUGAUGAUGAUGAUGGUGAUGAUGAGGAGGAGGAGGAGGAGGAGGAGGGUAAUAAUAAUGAUGACAAUGAUGUGCAUAAUGAAGAUAAUGAAGAUGAUGAGAAAUGUUAAUUGUAUAAUGAUAACAAGCCCUGUAUUGUUACUCGUGCCUGUACAUUUCCUUCACUGACAUACACAAAAAAUUUAAUCAGCCACUUGCUGUUUCCUGUCAGGCUUCGAUCACUUACUGCCGCGCGGCUCCACUCCAGUACGUAGCGAGCCGAGGAAGAAGAAAGAAGGCGGAGGUCCACCCAGGCGAGCCGUUCCCGCAUCACACAACUUACACGUUAAUUUCUCGCAGAGUAAAGCAAAACACAACAGAUGUGUAUAGAGACUCUAGACAGUAUCCUGAAACAUUUCUGCCCGCACCCCGACUACUUUCGUGAGGCUGUAGUUGAAAUUACACGGAUUUUCAGGGUGUUUGUACGGUUCUAGUGACAGACUGGUAAGGUCUCUACAGCAUCAUCCGGAGAAACAAUCUUGAAAACCCGUGUAAUUAUCUCUGUGGCCUUUGAAAAUAGUCUGGUGAGAGAGCAAAGCUUUUCAGAACACAGGCACAUAACCUUGAUUCAUGCUUCAUGAAAAACAAGUGCAUUUAUGAUACCUGAGAAUGCCUUGUUGCAUUUCCCCCAUUAGCCUGUCUCUCAUUGGUGAAAACACCCGCACUACAUGUAUUGCGUUAUUUCAUUAGACUCAAGUCGCUAUUUCAAGUCUACAUAAGCCUCAAUAAAUACGAGAGCUGUUGUGUUGGCCUGCUUCCCGUCUGCCAAUCAGAGGGUUCUAUUUUUCCCUUUUAUUUUUUACUCUUCGUACAGCUCAUGUGUCCUUCAUUUGUCCUUACUUCUUGCCUCACAGUGUAUUGGUAAGUGUCUUCUACUGCUAAUAUAACCGUGAUUCUAUUAUUUUGUAUCAUUACAAGUAGUAUUGUGAGAGUGGCUCUGUUCUUAGUGACAAUUACCUCAGCACACCCUCCACCAAUCAGCACCAAGUAUUCAAGUCACGUGAUACUCUCUCCUCGCCGUCUCCUCAGCCAUUCGCCCUGCGCCCGCUGACGUGACGGGUCUCCGGUUGUGUUACGGCGGUGAAGCGGUGUUGCGUCUGUCCUUGGCGGGCAUGUUGUGGUGGACUGCGGUGUGGAGGGAGAGGUGGAUGUGAGUAUGGCCUGGUGGUGGAUAGGGAGGAGUGGAUAUUGGAAGAGAGAUGUGGAGAGUAGGAUGGUGGAAGGGGAGCUGGAGGUGGCCAUGGCGGACGUGACUGGGUUGAGGUGGUGGUUGUGGUGGUGUUUGGUGUGGUUGGAAUGGUUGUAGGGGGGUGUUGGUAGUGAUGGUGAACGUGACUGGCUUGUGGUAAAGGUGGUUGUGGUUGUUGAGGAUGGUGGUGGUUGUGUAACAGUGGUGGGGGUAGCGGACGUAACGGUGUUGUGGUUGUUGGGUGUGGUUGAGAGGUUGGGGUGGUGAUGGUAGUUGGGAGUGGUGGUGUGGUGGUGGUGGUGCUACGGUUGUCAGGGUUUAUAGGGAGAUGGUCGUGUGUGUGUGUGUGUGUGUGUGUGUGUAUUCCUGUAAUGAGCAAACUGUAGUUCGCUUGUUUCACCUCCCUGCUUCAGGCCUUCUUUCUCUCCCCUCUCCUCCCUCCCCGCUCCCUUCCUCGCCUGCCUGCCACCCUCUCCCCUCUCUUCCUCGCCUGCUCUCCCCUGCUCCUCGUGUCCCAGGUGACCCAUGAACUACCCCCAACAACUGUGAUGAAGAACCAGAAGUGGGCUGUAGGUGACGAGAUAACUACCCCAGGUCAUCCCGGAAGUGGCGAGGUGACCCCAUACAACUCCACAAGGUCGUGGAGGACGCCAGGCUUAGUCCUGCAGACUCCAGAAAUUCAUAUCACCACCACCUUGACUCCUGCCGCUAGCUGGCGAAGGCCACGUGGUCGCCUACACUCAGCCAUCCACCUCACCUGGACACCCACCUGCCCCGGACAUCAUCCAGCCGCAAGAACCCAGAUAAGCACUUUCGGGGUCCUUGGUUUUGGUUAGCUAGCUAGUUUAGUUAAGGGUCACUUGCUGUAGAUAGGAACCCUCCUCGGUCUUCUGUUUUUUUUUUUUUAUUUGGCGGGGGGUUUAACGCUGUGCUCCACGUGAGUGAUAAACAUUGUUUAUCUUUUAUUUUUUUUCCUGAAGACCAGUUGAUGUGGUUAUCUUGGAGGUUAACGGAGAAGAGUACUUCACUCCUGUGUUUUUAUUUAUUUUUUUAUUGAUCACUUUGUUUUUUGUUGAUUGUUAUUUAUUUAUUUUUAUUGAAAAAUGAGUGUGAAUGCAGCACAAUAUAUAAAGGUGUGCAUUCCAGAAUGAAAGGAAGGCGUGCACAGGCUAGAGUGCACAGGAUGCGGUGCCUUUUUUAUCACCAGACCUUAAUUGAUUUAAGCAAAUGAAAACUUUGAUGUGAGUACCUUACAAAGACACUUGACAAUACUAAUGUCACCUCACCUCGUGGUUUCACCUUAACACCUACAAACAUUGGCUGGACACAAGGUCAUAAAAAUAAUUUAUUCUCAUAUGUUCUCAUCUUUACAAAUUACAGUCUUUCCACAUCAAAGUAACUAAUCACCUUUAUCCAUACACUUGAGGGGGGUUGAAGGAUCGCUAAUCCCAUGUUAAAUUGCCUGUGUUCAACUCUUAUCUCCUCCCUCAUUUAUUUAAAAAGUAUUUUGAUCAGAAAAGAUAGGAGAACAACGUCUGCUAUCUUUUUUUCUUUUAUUGUACGAUUUUUUUUUUUUUCGAUGAAAAGUAAAAAAAAAAUACUUUGAAAUAUUUGUCAAAAAUCAAAAUCAACUCCAAACAAAAAUUACGACAGCAGACUUUGUUCGCCUCUCACAGUUUGAUAAGCCGCAAUAGCCCAUCUGUGUGUAACACCAAUAACAACGGAGCAGAUCAUUUAUAUAUGCUAAAAUCCGCCAUUUUGAGAUAUUAUGUCAUAAAGUUUAAGGGGUGGCAAAUUCACCUAUUGCAGCCAGGGAUUUGAAAUUCACGUGAUAUAUACAUCAGAAUAUGUUGAAAAAGCAGACAUAGUUUUAGUUACUCCGAUUGGUUUUGUAUAUAAGGCCUAAAGCUAUUCAUGAUUUCACCCUUAAUUACCGGGGGGGGAGGGGAGAAGGCGGGUGAAAACAAUUUUUGUUAUAUUUCGCCAUAUUUCUAAGUAAAAACCAGUGUUUAACUGUUUAAAAAUAAAUAAAAUAUUAAUGCAAAAGAUAUCUAAUGCAGAUGCAUUGACUAUUUGCUAGAUUUACGAAAAAAAAAUAAUUAUGAUUUUUUUUUCGUAUAUCAAUUUGAGAAAAUAGUUAGACCUAGAAUUUCGUGCUUUCUAAUAUUGUAUGCAGCAAGAGAACCGUAGAUAUUCAUGGGAGAGUGAAGAAGAACGGGUAUGUCAGAAAGAUAUAUGAAAAGAGAAAAAAAAUGUAAAAAAAAACUUGUAUGACAUGUCUCGCAGCGGGCGGAACCGUGGAGUUUCAUAACAGAAGACCUCUUUACAUAAGGGGAUUUUUUUUUCUUAUCAAAACGUUACAUAUAUCAAAAGAAGCGGAAAAAAUGUAGAAAAUUAUAAAUGAAAAAAAAAUUUUUCAUGUCCGGAUCGUACAUCACCCUUGAUGCAAAAAAUGUCCGCGCCUAAUGUUGUUAACACAAACGACACACUCUUCCCUUGAGAAAAGAUAGUAUGAAUGUCUUCACGAGUGUCCUACUGUUUCAUUUUAGAGCCCCUCCUCUUGAUGACGACGCGUACACUGUCAGCUACACUUUGCAUACACUUUGCAGCGUCUCUCUCUUAAAUUUUUCCCAAUAUCUUUGUGUCUCCAUUUCAGAUCAAUUGUUCUCUUUCCAAGGAUUGAGCAGAACAUGGUCGUGGUUCAAGUGAAGCCACUACAGCCACUGCCUGACAAGUCUUCCACACUGACAGGCCCACUGGAAGCUGUCAGUCUGCUGCAAGAACCAAGUUUUGAGGAGCACACGUUGUCCCUUCACCAACCAGCCAGCAGGUCUGGGCGGCUCGGAAGUCUACCUACAAACUGAAGACCCGUUCACUUGAAGGACACAGUUGGAGUCGGACACAACAUUCAAAAGUCAUUUCAAACGAGAGCUUCAGGCAGAAAAUUCGAGUGGAUUUUCAACUCAUCCAAAGAUAAUUUGAAUCCUUCUUUAUCUUGAAAAAUAGCUCCAG